rnacentral:lncRNA from 1 species
UGUCGAAUGCUUUCUCUGCAUCUAUUGAGAUGAUCAUGUGGUUUUUGUUUUUCAUUUUGUUGAUGUAGUGUAUCACGUUGAUUGACUUGCGGAUGUUAAACCAUCCCUGUGUCCCUGGUAUAAAUCCCACUUGAUCAUGGUGUAUAAUCUUUUUGAUGUAUUGCUGUAAUCGGUUUGCCAAAAUUUUGUUGAGGAUUUUUGCAUCUAUGUUCAUCAGUGAUAUCGGCCUGUAGUUCUCCUUCUUUAUGUUGUCCUUGUCAGGUUUGGGGAUCAGAGUGAUGUUGGCUUCAUAGAAUGUGUUAGGGAGUUCUCCAUCUUUCUCAAUUUUCUGGAACAGUUUGAGGAGAAUAGGUAUUAAGUCUUCUUUGAAUGUUUGGUAGAAUUCUCCAGAGAAGCCGUCUGGUCCUGGACUCUUGUUUUUGGGGAGGUUUUUGAUUACCGUUUCUAUUUCCUUACUUGUGAUUGGUCUAUUCAGAUUCUCCAUUUCUUCCUGAUUCAGUUUGGGGAGAUUGUAGGAGUCUAGGAAUUUGUCCAUUUCUUCCAGGUUGUUCAAUUUGUUGGCAUAUAGUUUUUCAUAGUAUUCUCUUAUGAUCUCUUGUAUUUCAUUGGUAUCUGUUGUGAUUUCUCCUCUGUCAUUCCUGAUUUUAUUAAUUUGCAAUUUCUCUCUUCUUUUCUUGGUGAGUCUGGCUAGGGGUUUGUCAAUUCUGUUAAUUCUUUCGAAGAACCAACUCUUUGUUUCAUUGAUCCUUUCUAUUGUCUUUUUUGUUUCAAUAUCGUUUAUUUCUGCUCUUAUUUUUAUUAUUUCCCUCCUUCUACUGACUCUGGGCUUUGUUUGUUCUUCUUUUUCUAGUUCUUUUAGGUGUCGUUUGAGGUUGCUUACGUGAGCUUUUUCUUGUUUAGUGAGGUGAGCCUGUAUUGCGAUGAAUUUCCCUCUUAGGACUGCUUUUGCUGCAUCCCAAAUGAUUUGGUAUGUCGUGUUCUCAUUUUCAUUUGUCUCCAGAUAAUAUUUGAUUUCUUCUUUAAUUUCUUCAAUGAUCCAUUGUUUGUUGAGAAGCGUGUUGUUUAGUCUCCACAUUUUUGCACCUUUCUCUGCUUUUUUCUUGUAGUUGAUUUCUAGUUUAAUAGCGUUAUGAUCAGAAAAGAUGCUUGAUAUUAUUUCAACUCUCUUGUAUUUAUUGAUGUUUGCUUUGGUUCCCAAAAUAUGGUCAAUCCUUGAGAAUGUUCCAUGUGCACUUGAGAAGAAUGUGUAACCUGCUGUUUUUGGAUGAAGUGUUCUAUAUAUAUCUAUUAAGUCCAUCUGGUCUAAUUUUUCAUUUAAUUCUAUUAUUUCCUUGUUGAUUUUCUGUCUGGAUGUUCUGUCCAUUGGUGUUAAUGGUGUGUUGAGGUCCCCUAUUAUUAUUGUGUUAUUUUUGAUAUCUUCUUUUAGGUUUGUUAAUAGUUGCUUUAUGAACUUUGAUGCUCCUGUGUUAG